rnacentral:rRNA from 1 species
UACGGAGGGAGCUAGCGUUGUUCGGAAUUACUGGGCGUAAAGCGCGCGUAGGCGGCUUUGUAAGUUAGAGGUGAAAGCCCGGAGCUCAACGUCCGGAACUGCCUUUAAACUGCAUCGCUUGAAUCCAGGAGAGGUGAGUGGAAUUCCUAGUGUAGAGGUGAAAUUCGUAGAUAUUAGGAAGAACACCAGUGGCGAAGGCGGCCACCUGGCUCGGUACUGACGCUCAGGUUCGAAAGCGUGGGGAGCAA